AGCUAUCAUUAUGAAGUAAUCUCGGUGGUUCUCUGCACUAAAGCUCGGUGCAGACGUUAUUGAACAAUGUCACUGUCCGAGCUAAGAACAUUGUUACCUCCGACCUGUCGCUACUUAGCAAACUCGAAAUAAUAACCGUGCUAGAGCUUGGAUGUAAGGGUCGUCAAUGGGUCAGGCCGGGCCGGGCCAGGCCCAUUUUGGCCGGAUCAUGUCGGGCCAAGCUUGAGCCAAAAAGAGGAGACCCAAGCUUUAUCCACGUGCCUAGUUCUACGGGCCUUUAAAUAAUUUUUUUUUGUAAAUAUAUUUCAUUCUAAAUUAAAAGACUAAAAAUAUCAAAGAUGAAAAAAAUAAUGCGUAAUUACAUGAAAUCAUAAAACAUAAAAUAUUAUAAAUAAUUAAAGUUAGGGAGAGGGACUGCAUCAUUAUAGUAUAAAUAUAUCUCAACUAGGUUGGCACAUAUAUAUUUGUCAAUUAAUUUGGCGCCGGCGGAAGCUUCUCCAAAAAAAAGUUAAUUAAUUUCUAUAGGGGGAGAUAACAAAAAGUGAUACAUGAAAUAAAAAAAUUUAUUUGUCAUAAAAAAUGAUAAAAAGUAAGUAUGGGCCUCACACCGAGCUUUUGAAUGGGCCUUGUGAUGAGCCUUCAAGGUGGGUCACGGGUUGGGCCUUCAGGUCGAGCCUCGCGCUUUAAAAUUGAAUCCAGGCCCAGCCCAUACCAUUCUGGACUUGGGUCGGGCUUGGACCCUCCAGACCAUGGGCCGGGAAUUUUUUGAUGACCCUUACUUAGACGAGGGGCAACAACCGACGACAAUCUCGAUGGAUAUUAGGGGACAGAAGCUGACUUGCAUAACAAAAAUUUUUUCUGACAACCCCAUACCCAGAUGGAGACGUCCGCGACAUGAUGAUGGGCUAUCAGCCAGGCCUAAGAAACAUGGCUGAGUCAACCACCUAUUCAUUGACACAGCGGUCAGCGGGUAUAAGUACGCGCUGAGUAGCAGUCUAUCCAGUAACAAGAUAGCUAGCGCGUCAAGGCACGUGCCGAGCUGUGCUAUAUAAACUCAGUCAUUCUCUUAUGAAGAGGUAUGCACAUUUUGGCUAUCAGAAUAUAUGCACUUUCUCUCUCUACAUUCUCCAGUCUUUUAACGUUAUCGUCGGAGAGUCAUUUUUCAAAAAUAACUUCGACUCACUGUUCCUGUGUUACAGCUAAGACAUUGUUAGUUAACUGGUUGAAGCUACCCCCACUGCCGUAGAACCACCGCGAGUGUUUAUCCUUGAUUUCCUUCCUCUCAACUCUCAAACACUACACCCCAUAGUAUGAUUAUGUAAACAUUCUAUUUGAUUACAUUACCUUAUUUAGGACAUUCUGAUUGAUUGUAUUGCCUUAAUUGGCUUCCUUUUUUACCUAUAGAAAGAGACCAAUCUAUUCAUUCUCAAUACACACUAAUACAAAACCUUUUCUGUCACAUUCAUUUCUAGCAAUUUGGAACAGAGAGAGAAAGUGGAAGAGAAAAAGACAUAAGGAGACUAACUUACCUUUUCUCUCACUCUCAGUUCUAACAAUUGGAAUAACUAUAACAAAGAGACACAAAAUGGAAGAGAAAAAGACAGAAGGAGACUAACUUAUGAUCCGUAUAAGAAUCGAAGAAAAUUUGGAAAAUGAUGGAGUCCUUAAAGAUGAAGAAAUUAACCUUCAAGAGAUAUUGGAGUGUUUGGGAUUGGGGGUCAUUCUGAUACUUGAAAGGAUAAUAAAUAUUAUUUUUGUAAAUAAUUGGUGGGUAUUGGUUGAGAGAGAGAGACGCGUGAGGGGAGAGAGCAUAAAGAUCGUGAUUCUUUAGAAGACUAAAACUUAAAUCCAACAGCUAAACUAUCAAUUAUUGGAUUUGGCUUCAAACUUUUGAAUUUAAAUUCAAACUCUUUGUUAGAUUUGGAUUCAAACUCCUUAUUAGAUUUGUAUUCAAAGUUCUAGUUGAAUUUGAAUUCAAGUUCUUGGCCUAUAUAUACAACUCCCAUGGCUGUUAUUCUGUGUGAAAAAAUGUAAUGUAAGGCAGAGAGAGAGUGAGACCAAACUACCAGUUUCUUUAUUUAGUAAAUCUAUUGCACCACCUGAUGACAUAGGCAAGUUUCUGAACCUCGUAAAUCAUUGUGUCUGUCUGUGCUUCCGAACCUCAUAAAUCAUUGUGUCUAUCUGUACGUGUGUUUCUGUGCGUGUGUGUGAUUAUUGGAAUCAAACCAUAGGUUGAAUUUUAGACCUCUGCAAAAAUGCUCAAAAUCGAUUUCUGAUCUCACCAACUGUUUGUAUUCUCGAUACGAAGCCCCUGAAGUCAACCGGGUAGAAAUUCGACGCCGAACGCGCUGUCACGCACCUCCUAAGCGUCGGAGAUACACACUAACCACGCGCUACCUCUCUCCCCGAGAGUGAAGAUCAGUCUCCCACGCGCCUUCUACGCCUUGCACACACACUCACGCGCCUACUAACUUUCGGCACGUCAAGUCUAUGCGGCUAU
rnacentral:lncRNA from 1 species